rnacentral:rRNA from 1 species
CGAACAAGUACCGUGAGGGAAAGUUGAAAAGUACUCUGAAUAGAGAGUUAAAUAGUACGUGAAACCGCUUAGGGGUUAAGCCCGAUGAACCCGAAUAUCUGAUGUGAGAAAUUCAAUACGAUUCAAAUUCAUAUUUUUAUAUUGGAUUUGUAUAGUAUGCACUUUUCUCAUAGUAAGACAUUGUAAUCCAUUGAUAUUAUAUCUCAUAUGAGAUGAUUUAACAUACGGACAAAAUGUUUAUGAUUAUUCUAUCAGUGAUAUGUUUACAUGUCAUAUGAAUAAAAUCGUUUUGUUUCCUGUUUAAAUAGUCGAUGGAUUUUUCAUUGAAAUCAUGCUUGCUAUUUAUUUUGCGUUUCGUAUUAU